AGGCGGGACUUUAAGUCAGUGGUGAAAGCCUCCAGCUUAACUGGAGAAUUGCCAUUGAAACUGAAGUUCUUGAGUAUGGAUGAGGUGGUUGGAAUAUAACAUGUAGCGGUGAAAUGCAUAGAUAUUACAUAGAAUACCAAUUGCGAAGGCAGAUUACUAAUAAUCAACUGACACUGAUGGACGAAAGCGUGGGUAGCGAACAGGAUUAGAUACCCUGGUAGUCCACGCCGUAAACGAUCAUCACUCGCUGUUGGCGAUAUACUGUCAGCGGCCAAGCGAAAGUAUUAAGUGAUGCACCUGGGGAGUACGCCGGCAACGGUGAAACUCAAAGGAAUUGACGGGGGCCCGCACAAGCGGUGGAGCAUGUGGUUUAAUUCGAUGAUACGCGAGGAACCUUACCAGGGCUUAAAUGUAGUAUGACCGGUCUGGAAACAGGCCUUCCCUUCGGGGCAGAUUACAAGGUGCUGCAUGGUU
rnacentral:rRNA from 1 species